AACGGCCGUACCAUGCUGAAUAUACCGGUUCUCGUUAGAUCACCGAAGUCAAGCAUCAUUGGGCGCGGUCAGUACUUGGGUGAGUGACCACCUAGGGACAUCGCGUG
rnacentral:rRNA from 1 species